AGACCGUGAUGUGGGCAUUUCCUUAAGAGCUCCUUGAACCUUUCCCAUGUCUGCAAUGAUUCCCCGUCUUCUUGAGAGUAGAUAUUGAUCCCGGUCAUGAGUUU
rfam:Helianthus annuus linkage group 8, whole genome shotgun sequence.